UGGGGAAUCUUGCGCAAUGGGCGAAAGCCUGACGCAGCGACGCCGCGUGAGCGAUGAAGGCCUUCGGGUUGUAAAGCUCUGUGGGGAGAGAAGAAUAAGUUCCGGUUAAUAUCCGGAGCGAUGACGGUAUCUCCUUAGCAAGCACCGGCUAACUCUGUGCCAGCAGCCGCGGUAAGACAGAGGGUGCAAACGUUGUUCGGAAUUACUGGGCGUAAAGCGCGUGUAGGCGGCAAGGCAAGUCGGAUGUGAAAGCCCACGGCUCAACCGUGGAAGUGCACCCGAAACUGCCUCGCUAGAGUCUCGGAGAGGAAGGUGGAAUGCUUGGUGUAGAGGUGAAAUUCGUAGAUAUCAAGCGGAACACCGGUGGCGAAGGCGGCCUUCUGGACGAUGACUGACGCUGAGACGCGAAAGCGUGGGGAGCAAACAGG
rnacentral:rRNA from 1 species